GACGAACGCUGGCGGCGUGCCUAAUACAUGCAAGUCGAACGGAAAGGCGCGCAUCUUGGUGGGGGUGCGUGAGUGGCGAACGGGUGAGUAACACGUGGGUGAUCUGCCUUGUAGUUUGGGAUAAGCUUGGGAAACUGGGUCUAAUACCGGAUAGGACCAUGAAUUAGUGUGUUAUGGAGGAAAGAUUAGUGUUGUGGUGCCGGAUGAGCUGGCGGCCUAUCAGUUUGGUGGUGGGGUAAACGCCGACCAAGGCGUCGACGGGUAGCCGGCCUGAGAGGGUGGACGGCCACAUUGGGACUGGGAUACGGCCCAGACGCCUACGGGAGGCAGCAGUGGUUAAGCAUGGACAAUGGGCGUAAGCCUGAAGCAGCGCCGCCGCGUGGAGGAUUUCGGCCUUCUAAUACUAAGCUCCUCGCGAUAAAGACGAAGCCACGCUUUUUGGGAGUGGUGACGGUACCUUAGUCAGAAAGCCCCGGCUAACUACGUG
rnacentral:rRNA from 1 species